GGUUUGUUUUCCGAAUUUCGUUAGUCCCAAACCCGGAGCAGUAGAGUCAACAUCAAAAUCCAAAUUUCUUGUUUAGUUUUCAGUGUUUUUUUUUGGAUUCCUGUUAAAAAGAAACUUUACGGCUCAAAAUGUGUUGUGGACCUUGUGGACCGUGCUACGGCGGAUGCUACAGUCCUUGCUGUAGCCCCUGCUGUGGACCCUGCGGACCCUGUGGACCAUGUGGACCCUGCGGACCCUGUGGACCAUGUGGACCCUGUUGCAGUCCCUGCUGUGGACCGUGCUGUGGACCCUGCGGUGGAUGCUGCAGCAGCUGUGGACCUUCCUGCUGAGGACCAUCAACGCCAGAAAAUCGUCCGUCGAAUCCAAAGAGCUAACUGAAUUCUAAUUUGCGAAAUGUCAUUGCUGACUUAUUCGACUUGAAGACAAGAUCAAGUCGUAAUAAAUCUGGAUUGGGAAA